rnacentral:rRNA from 1 species
CAGCAGCCGCCACGGGAAUACAGAGGGUGCAAGCGUUAAUCGGAAUUACUGGGCGUAAAGCGCGCGUAGGUGGUUUGUUAAGUUGGAUGUGAAAUCCCCGGGCUCAACCUGGGAACUGCAUCCAAAACUGGCAAGCUAGAGUAUGGUAGAGGGUGGUGGAAUUUCCUGUGUAGCGGUGAAAUGCGUAGAUAUAGGAAGGAACACCAGUGGCGAAGGCGACCACCUGGACUGAUACUGACACUGAGGUGCGAAAGCGUGGGGAGAAAACAGGAUUAGAUACCCCGGUAGUCCCUGUCUCUUAUAC